ACGACUCUCGGCAACGGAUAUCUCGGCUCUCGCAUCGAUGAAGAACGCAGCAAAAUGCGAUACUUGGUGUGAAUUGCAGAAUCCCGUGAACCAUCGAGUCUUUGAACGCAAGUUGCGCCCGAAGCCAUUAGGCCGAGGGCACGUCUGCCUGGGCGUCACG
rnacentral:rRNA from 1 species